CCUGCCCCUCGCCCCUCCUCCCCCCUCCCCGCCGGCCCGGCCGAGCCCCGCCGCGGGGCGUGUGUGCGCCCGGAGAGACUGCAGAGGCCGGGGGACUCGUGCUGAAGGAGAGAGGCAACAAAAAAUAAAAAAAGGAACAGAUGACUUCAUUCUCGGGAAGGCUCCGUCCUACGUGGACCAAUUUCCUGGGGACUGUGGUGGAACAGCUCGGCUGCCGUUGGAAGCACUUAAAACUAAACCAGAUAAAGACCAGAAAAUUCUCAGCAUUGCCUGAGCCGAGCAAGGGUGGGCAAACUGAGGCCCAGAGAGGGGAAGAAACUUGACAGAGAUCUGCCACUGGUUAAAGACGGAACCUGGACCAGGACCCAGGAGCCUCGCCUUCCUUUAGAGUGCUCAGGACCCCGACUCUGAUCCUUGUGUAGAAUUAUCUGCAUGCUCAGAAGUUCAGGAGCUGGGGGGCAGGAGGAUCUGAAGUCAGACUGCACAUCUACGUGAGACCCAGGACAAAUAAAUUCUUCUCUCUGGGCGCCCACGGUCUUAUGUGUUAAGUGGGGAUGACAGUACCAGCCCUGGGUUGUCUUAAGGAAUAAAGAUGCUCCAAGAAAAGUCCUGGGACUAACCCUGGAACAUACUAAUA